UACGUAGGGGGCAAGCGUUGUCCGGAAUCAUUGGGCGUAAAGCGCGUGUAGGCGGCCUUGUAAGUCCGUUCUGAAAGCCCGGGGCUCAACCCCGGGAGGCGGAUGGAUACUGCAAGGCUCGAGUACGGAAGAGGCGAGUGGAAUUCCCGGUGUAGCGGUGAAAUGCGCAGAUAUCGGGAGGAACACCUAUGGCGAAGGCAGCUCGCUGGGACGUUACUGACGCUGAGACGCGAAAGCGUGGGGAGCAAACAGG
rnacentral:rRNA from 1 species